ACCGGCGCACGGGUGAGUAACGCGUAUGCACCUACCUUUUACAGAGGGAUACCCAAGAGAAAUUUUGAAUAAUACCUCAUAAGAUAGCAUUUUGAAAACUCCGGUGGUAAAAGAUGGGCAUGCGUCCUAUUAGUUUGUUGGUAAGGUAACGGCUUACCAAGACUACGAUAGGUAGGGGUCCUGAGAGGGGGACCCCCCACACUGGUACUGAGACACGGACCAGACUCCUACGGGAGGCAGCAGUAAGGAAUAUUGGACAAUGGAGGAAACUCUGAUCCAGCCAUGCAGCGUGCAGGAAGACGGCCUAUGGGUUGUAAACUGCUUUUAUACAGGAAGAAAUCUAUCCACGUGUGGGUAGUUGACGGUACUGUACGAAUAAGGAUCGGCUAACUCCGUGCCAGCAGCCGCGGUAAUACGGAGGAUCCAAGCGUUAUCCGGAAUCAUUGGGUUUAAAGGGUCCGUAGGCGGUCUAUUAAGUCAGAGGUGAAAUCCUGCCGCUCAACGGUAGAAUGGCCUUUGAUACUGAUAGACUUGAGUUAUUGUGAAGUAGUUAGAAUGUGUAGUGUAGCGGUGAAAUGCAUAGAUAUUACACAGAAUACCCAUUGCGAAGGCGAUUUACUACAUACACUGACGCUGAGGACGAAGCCGUGGUAGCGACAGAUAGAUACCCUGGUAGUCCACGGUG
rnacentral:rRNA from 1 species